rnacentral:rRNA from 1 species
UACAGAGGUGGCAAGCGUUGUUCGGAAUUACUGGGCGUAAAGCGUGCGCAGGCGGUUGUGCAAGACAGAUGUGAAAUCCCCGGGCUUAACCUGGGAAUUGCAUUUGUGACUGCACGGCUAGAGUGUGUCAGAGGGGGGUAGAAUUCCACGUGUAGCAGUGAAAUGCGUAGAGAUGUGGAGGAAUACCGAUGGCGAAGGCAGCCCCCUGGGAUAACACUGACGCUCAUGCACGAAAGCGUGGGGAGCAAACAGGAUUAGAUACCCGGGUAGU